GGAAAAGUUCAUUAAAGGAAUUUCUUUUCAUUCAUUGAAAAGUAAUCAGCAUAAAGAAUAAUUUGUUAUAGGUAAUCGAUUUUAACAUAGGCAACAAACAAACUCAUUAUGAAGUUACAAUCAUUUUCUCAUACAACAAUGUGAAUCAGAAUAAUUUGUCUUUUCAUUGACACAAACUAGCAGGCAAGAGACUUUUGGCUGCUGGAAGCAUUGCAACAGCUCCUCUCUGGGGAUGUGAGUACUUUUUGUGCACUGUUUGAAGCUUAUUUUCUGCAGCCUUUGAGUGCAAGUACACCAGCAGUCCAGCACAAUCCCUGGUUGGGAACAAAAGAGCACAAGAACAAAAUGUGUAAAUUACAAUCCCAAUAGGAGGAGGGGAAAAAAAAGGGUUCCAGGAAAGGCAAAUAUUGAUAAAAUCUUACUUAAGCUGUGAUUCUGAGAAACCAGUAUGAAGCUUAAGGGUCUCUGUCCAGACAGGGCAUUUGCUUAGAGUGCAUCGAGCUGCAUAGACUGCUGAGGCAGCAACCAUUGAUGGGCAGAACAUUAUGGUGUCAUAAUGCAUGAUACCCAAUUCAGCAAGAAAAUAGACCAUGUUCUCGAUCUGGAUACAAAACAACAUUUCAGAUAUGUGUAAACACUUUCAGCAAGAUCGAGUAUUAGUGCAAAGAUUUGCUCUACCUCCUUGUCAGGAAUAGACGCCUUGAUGAAACGAGAAAGGAACACAUAAUGUGUUGGCACAGUUAGGGUCCAUUCCAGCUUUGCCAGUAUAGUUUUCUCCAUAAUCAAUACCUGCUCAUGAGUAUAAGCUUUGUCGGAAAUGCACACCAAAUCAUUGACCUACAGAAUUCAAUUUGUAAAGCAGUAAGCUGAUAUGGUACUCGUUACAGAAAGAAACUGAACGAACUCUUCAGAAACAUUGGAUUAUUUUUACCUCUGGAGGCCAGAUUUCCUCGUAUUUGGAGGCCAUUAGAGUGGCACUGAUUCCCACCAGUUGGAGUUCCCUUCUUGGAACAGGCUUUACAGAAAGGAAUCGAUCAAUGAUAUUGAUUGUGAGAUAAAGAGUUUCAGGUGACAGCUCAAACUUCUGAUGCACAUCUAUCAACCAGUCUAUCAGAAUUGCUCUCAUCUUCUCAUUAAUCUCAGGUUGUGAGUCCAUGUAAUUAUGAGGCCGGCUCUCAUUCUGCAUUACACUUCUCAUAGAUUAGCACAUGCAAAAAUAGAGGAAACUGAACAGAAAAAAAGUAAUAUACCUCAACUAGCUUAUAGAACUUGUAAAUAUCCUCGACAUAUUCAACUCCAGCUAAAUCAUUAUUGGCAUCUGCUGCAUCAAUAUCAACAAUCUCCUCCAUUGGUUUGUUUCCCAGGCCACAAGCAGCCUGCAAAUAAACCAAAAAAGAAGAGGCAAAUAACAAGUUAGAGAAGGCCCCACCACAUCUCAGCAACGUAGCAUGUUUAUAAAAAGGAGAAUCAGAGGAAGAGGAGGUCACUUUGCUUCGAGCAGUGAGGGCUGAUGUAAGAGUCUGCACUUUCUUCCUUGGCGAUUCUUUUUUCUUGUGCACUGCCUUGUCUUGCUUCUUAACCUUUUCCUCUUCUUUCUCAUUAUCAGGGCUUAUCUCAAUCACCUCCUGGGGCUCUGGCUUGACUACGACUUUCUUCUGAGCUUCCUUCACUGCUCCACCAUUUUUACCAGCGGCUGCUCCAUUAGGACCAGCGCCAGGCACCGUCUCCACCUUGACACAGACUAAUUUCUUGUUGUUCUCUGCUGCUGCUGCGGCUUGGGCAUUGGCCAAUAACUGUGCACAGAAUUUCCUCGUCAUGGGGCGAGAAAUUUGAGCCUGGGGCUUGGCAGCGUCAAUUCCUCGAACAGUUACUACAUUGCCAAUGUCUCCAAGAGCACGGCGGUUUCUGCCAUCAGCCCCUGCAGCAUUCUUCUUCCGAUGCAUGUUGACACCUAUAAGUGCUUCCCCUCUAGCCGGUUGUGGAACAAUGGGUCUUGAAGCCAUUUCAGAUGUAAUCUCUUGAAUCCCUUGAGUCUCUCGAAUGCGAAUCAAACUUCUGCAAGAACCGAAUCUCUCUCUCUCUUUCUCUCUUU
rnacentral:misc_RNA from 1 species